GGGAAGGGAGUGUGUCAGCAGCAGACAGCGAGCAGGUCCAGCCCUUACUGCAGAGUCCAGCGGGAAGCCAACAGGAAAAGGAGACGCAGAGUUCCAGACUUCCCUUCUAAAACAGCAGUUCAAAGAAACACAGUGAUGACACAGUGAUGACACUGACAUUGCCCACUUACCAGAUCUUGGUGAAUCUGCUGGUCCGUGCAGCCCAUUUCACAGUGAGUUUUGAUGGCCCAGGCCUUCUGAGUGCAGCCUUCAUGCCAUGGAUUGAGCAGAUACCAGAGCUUUCACACCAGAAAGCAGCCGUAUGCAAGCCAGGAGGACUCUCACCAGAAACCCACCCUGCUGGGCCUGGACCUUGGACUUCCAGCCUCCAGAACUAUUUAGUGAUGGUGACGGGAUCCGAAGGAAACAUCUGAUGGCUCUGAGGACAACACGAGACACAGGGAAGGACACUUUGAGAGCAUCUUUCCCGCCGUCGCGAGGGCCGUGGUAAGAAAAAAGACUGCCCUUGCGUCUCCUUGGAAGGGACUCUACCAGAUCUUCCUCACUAACCUGAUGGCAGCCAACCUGCAAGGACUUGAAACUUGGGUACAUAUCUCACAACUGAAGAAGUCCCCACCUGAUGUUGGGUCCUGUACACCCACUGAAGACCUCAAAAUCAAAUUGAGAAGUAGCCGAUGUUGAGGUGAACAUUUAGAUACUACAGAGAUGACAUGUCACUAAGACACAUGGUAUGAAUAUAUAGGAGGCCCAUAUCUGGACAAAGACAUAUGGGAAAAAGGAGAUCAGGAGGAGAAUUCUCCCAGAACAGAAUAGACACUUCUGACAAAAUUCACCCUUUUACCACAAUGCUCAGGGCCUCACUGAUGAAGCCCGCUCUAAAGGAUGAUCUUCUACUGGCCUUAUAAAGGAAAACAACAGUGCACACACGUUUUGAUCUAUUUUUCCAAAUUUCGUCUCUUCAAAUACACAUAUGGCAGAUGAAUAAACAGAUGUCACUUUU